CAGCAGCCGCGGUAAUACAGAGGGUGCGAGCGUUAAUCGGAUUUACUGGACGUAAAGCGUGCGUAGGCGGCUUCUUAAGUCGGAUGUGAAAUCCCUGAGCUUAACUUAGGAAUUGCAUUCGAUACUGGGAAGCUAGAGUAUGGGAGAGGAUGGUAGAAUUCCAGGUGUAGCGGUGAAAUGCGUAGAGAUCUGGAGGAAUACCGAUGGCGAAGGCAGCCAUCUGGCCUAAUACUGACGCUGAGGUACGAAAGCAUGGGGAGCAAACAGGAUUAGAUACCCCUGUAGUCCCUGUCUCUUAUAC
rnacentral:rRNA from 1 species